rnacentral:rRNA from 1 species
AACGAACGCUGGCGGCAUGCCUAACACAUGCAAGUCGAACGAGACCUUCGGGUCUAGUGGCGCACGGGUGCGUAACGCGUGGGAACCUGCCCUUAGGUUCGGAAUAACUCCCCGAAAGGGGUGCUAAUACCGGGUAAUGUCUUCGGACCAAAGGUUUAUCGCCUUUGGAUGGGCCCGCGUUGGAUUAGCUAGUUGGUAGGGUAAAAGCCUACCAAGGCGACGAUCCAUAGCUGGUCUGAGAGGAUGAUCAGCCACACUGGGACUGAGACACGGCCCAGACUCCUACGGGAGGCAGCAGUGGGGAAUAUUGGACAAUGGGCGAAAGCCUGAUCCAGCAAUGCCGCGUGAGUGAUGAAGGCCUUAGGGUUGUACAGCGCUUUUACCCGGGAUGAUAAUGACAGUACCGGGAGAAUAAGCUCCGGCUAACUCCGUG